UGUGGGGGGUUCCUGGGGCGGGGCUCGCGUCAGAAAGCCGGCGGUGUCCCGCGGUGCAGACCAAACGCACACAACCCGGGCGUGGUCCGGGCGGGCUCCCUCCACGGGCUCCCGGGAGGCCCUCCUGCCUCUGCCUCCUCCGGGGCUCCAGGCGGCCCCAGCGCCCCCGUCUGUGCCUCUGUCUCCACGCGGCUCCUGCUCCGUCUGUGCCUUUUCCUCUGUACCUCGUGAGGCCACGGUCGCUGGGUUCCAGGAGUUCGUGGCCACCCCGAGUCCACGGCCGGCUGUGGAACCAAGCAGUGGCCGUCAGCCACCCGGGCCAGACGCCGGUGUCCCCUCCGCCCACCCAGGUUCCAGGACGACCAGCCGUACGCGCCGUGCACCCGCUACCUGGUCCGGUGCGGCCUCACGGCCGGGUGCCUCGUGGAAGGGGGCGACCGGGUCUUGGACUUCUGCCUCCACAACGGGUCGCGCCGUGUUCUCGCCAUGCAGCGCUGGGUCUCCGAUUACCGUGAGCGCCCGCCGCCCCGGCCGCGUCCUCGCCCUGGCUCUCGGGGAGGGGCUGGGCCCUGGGACUCCCACCUGGCUGGUCUGGGAUGACCUCCCUGGAGAUCCUCCUGCCUCCGCCUCCCGUGCCCCACCGCACCAGCCCCGCCGGACACUUUUAUGUGUCCAGGGAAGGAGGGGAGGCAGGAGGCAGAGGCAGCGGGGUCUCCUGCGCUCUCUCCUUCCCAGUGAAGCCCAGGGCCCCGCGAGACCUGCGGUUCCUGUGGGGACAGGACGCUGUCACCGUGACGUGCCCCGGCCUGCCCUACAGUGGGCUGCUCUACGAGGUGCAGCACAGGACGCCUUACGACGGCGGGUGGCAGGUGAGCUGCAGUGGCACCCACGUCCCCACCAGGGCUGCGGGUCUGGGGGUCGGGGGUCCGCUCCACCCUCAGGGUCUGCAGCGACACCGCCCGAGCCCACCCCACCUGCUGUGCGUGCAUCCACCCAUGCAUCUGACCAACAAGAGGCCUGUCAUGCCAGCACUCGGGAGGCCGAGGCAGGACGAUCCCAAGUCCCAGCCCAGCCCUGGCUCAGCCCGCACAGAGAGAGGACGUCCCCCAGCUGCCACCCGGAAGGCCGGCUCCUGUCCCCGACCGCCCUGUCCGAUUCGUCCCCAGUCCAGGGUGGCGGAGCUGUGCAACGUGACCAUCGAGGGCCUGGACCUGGGGCACUGCCACUCCUUCCGGGCCAGGGUGCUGACCCAGGCGUCCUCCUACGGCUCCGAAGCAUCCCCCAGCGACUGGUCUCCGGUCACCCACUGGCAGGGAGCUGCGCCCCGAGAUUCCUGCCUGCAGUGGCCCCCGCUGCCCAAAUGGCCCCGGUUCUUCCUGGUGUGCAGCCUGGUGUCGCUCCUGACCGUGGCCCUGCUGCUCCUGGCUGUGUGCAAGGCGCAGAGGGUGAAGAGGGUGCUGAUGCCCAGCGUGCCGGACCCCAAGGGCUCCUUUCCCGGGCUGUUCGAACACCACCAGGGGGACUUCCAGGAGUGGAUCACCGACACCCAGGACGUGGCCCCAUGGAAGAAGCCGCCGAGCGGGGAGCAGGACCCUGGGUCUGAGCAGACGCUGGAGGUCCAUGUGUCCAGGGUGGACGCGGAGCUGCCCCUGGUGACGAGGCCCCUGUCCCCACACACAAGGGAGGAAGAGGCCUCCGUGGGCUCCGCGCAGCACCCUCCCCGAGACCCCCAGGGUGGCACCGUGGUCUCUCUUGCGGGCUUCACGUUCAUGAUGACGGACAACGCCUACAUGAAGCUGUGAACUGCGAUCCUCCGGCCUCGGCCUCCUGAGCGGCUGGGGUGACAGGCAGGCACCACCACACCUCACUCUCUUGUUCACUUUCCUUCUGCAGUCCGUGGCAUUGUACCCAGGGGGCAGCAUGGUGGGGAAAGCGCUCUACCCCUGAGCUUCGCCCUGAGCUCUUUGAUCCUCUUUGCUUCUAUUUGGAGACCAGCUCUCUGGCUAAGUGGCCCAGGCUCACCUUAAACUUGAGACCCUCCUGACUCAGUCUCCCGCAGUGGCUGCACCACAGACGGGCACCGGUCGCUCCUUCCCCUGUGAUGUGACCCCCAGCCCCGGGUGUGGCCCCGCAGGAAGGACGAGGCAGGCUGCUCUCUCCGGAAGCAGCGAGUCAGCGAUGCUCUCUCCCCUCCCGGGGCCCUGCAGUGUGCAUGUCUCUGUGCGCCUGCAGGCUCAUGCGUGUGUCGGCGGGUGUAUGCAGCUGUGCAUUUGUGUACACACGUGUCUGUCUGUGGCGUGAUGAGUGCCUGUGUGUGGGGGGGAGAUGCACGAACGCCUGGAGGUGAGGCCAUAGCCGUGUCUGUGUGCGUGCAUCUGCAUCUGGGUGUAAGUGUGUGCACGUGUGUACAUACAUGUAAGCACACAAUAACCGAAACGCAUAGCUGAUAGGUGUUCUGCAUGGUUUUAAUUUACCCUGGAGCUUUUGCUGACCUCACCGCAGUGCCUGUCUACGUUAUUUGCCCUGGGUCCGCACACGAGAAGUCGUGGCUGCACCUCAGGCCUGCGCAGUGGUCCAGCCAGACGGAGUCGACGUCGUCUUCGUGUCUUAGCCCCCGGGUGGUGGCCUGACUGGAAGCAGGGCCCUGCAGAGGGAAUCGGAGGAGGAUCUGGGGACACGGCCGUCCUGCCUCAGCCUCCCGAGUGCUGGGCCCACAGGCGCCACACUUCACCAGAGGCUUUGACCCCCGCCCCGCUGUGCCUUUCUGCUGUCGGUCUCUGUCACUUCCUUCCUAAGCCUUUCGGGUCCUUUCACGUCUCUGUCUCCGGUCCCUGCCCCUCUGGGAGGGCUCCUUGUUGUAGGGGGACCCUGUCUCCGUGACACUCAACCCGCCGGCCACUCUGCCUCCACCGGAGCCCCGACGGCCCCUCCCUGCCUCCUGAUUAACGAACUCGUCAGUUAAUUGAGAGGGACUGGGGGUGGAACCCAGGGCCUUCGCUCCGAGCUCCGUCUCCAGCCCUAUUUAGGUUUUCUUUUGAGCCUGGUCUCCCUGAGUCACUCAGUGGCCCAGGCUGGAGAUUCUCCUGCCUCAGCCUCCUGAGCACUGGGAUCAAAGGCAUGCGCCAACCUCGUCUUGGGAUCUCAAGGCUGGAGCCUGCGGGUCAACACUGAGCCCCUCACAGGGCCAAGUGGCGCAGCCGGGUGACAGCAACGGCUGCUCUCAGUGUUCAUGCUGUGGUUUCCUGUCCCCUGCCCGGGGCCGGGACAAAGCCCUUUGUGCUCGCUCUGCACAACGCACCUGGGGUGCUGAGGAGAACCGCAUCAUCCUCAGCCCUCGGACCGCAGUCGGACUCGGGGUGGGCUAAGUGUGUGACCCCAGCACUCCAGGAGGCUGAGGCAGGAGGAUUUCGAGUUCCAGCCCAGCCCGGGCGGCUUAGCAGCUCAGCGAGACCCCGACUCAAAAUAAAAAAUAAAAGCAGGCUGGGGAUGGGGCUCCGAGGGAAGGCCCCAGGGUCAAUCCCCAGCGCUGCAAGAAUAAAUACACACAAGAUAUUCUUUAAAAGGCUGCGGUGGCGCACGCCCAUCACUCCAGCACUCUGGGAGGCUGAGGUAGGAGAGUCUCCAGUUCCCGCCCAGCCUGCACAAUUUACGGUCUCAGCGAGACCCUAUCUCAAAAUCCACGGUGGAGAGAGGAAGGGAGGCAGGAAAGAAAUCAGGCCCGAGUACCAGUUGUCACACCCGAUGUUUGGUCUGGCUUGGGAGGGGCUGCCUCAGUUUCCCCAAGUUUCUCGGCCUUCCCCAGGGGCUCCGGCUGCAGAUGCUGUAAAAGUUCCCAAUCGGACAUCCCCUGCGGGUCCUCAAAACGAGCCCCCUCUUGCCCUGCUGUCCCGAAGGCAGACGAGACAAGCCGGGGCACUGAGGGUAAUAAACUGACUUCCAGAGCCUGGGCAGGGAUCAGCUCGCUGGCACGCAGCAAUGGGCUCGGCUCCACCCCGAGUGUGAAGGUCCGAAUGG
rnacentral:lncRNA from 1 species